ACCACCGCUCGCCGGCGCCAUCCUAAGCAUACUUACCUGGCCCGCUUCUCGAGGUGGUCACCAUGGCCUCGGUUGUGUGGUCGGUCUUCACCUUGCACUUUGUGAGGGCCUUCCGCAGUCGGCCCUUCGGGUGUCCGGCAGGGCUAAAUUUUUGUUAGGCUGAGGACCCGCGCUAUGCGCGGCCUCGGCUCCCAAUUCAGCUGUCGAUCCGCCUCAGAAGCUGCCACCUAAUCUCCCUUCUUCAUCCCCCUGCCCAUCAAAUCCGCUGCCUCAUUUUGCACACUUGCUGGUUGUGGGUGUGCGUUAUAAUGUGAUCGGCGCCGUCCACUAAGUGGUGGGCGGUGAGCACUAAGCAGUGAGCUCACGACUUGCCGAGCGAAGGGUUCCGCAGUUCAGUAUGUGUGCUCGAGAAGGAUUCCAUAUGACAUCAUGUGUGCCUGGGUAUGAGUGGGGCGAGGCGGUCAUCAGAAGGGUUAUCGGGCAGGACCGUCUAAAGGCUCGAGAGCCUAGCAGUGUCAGCGGAGGAUUACAGGGGGCCUUCCGUUCAGGGGAACGCUGCGGUUUUGCUGCAGUGGUGGUGCAUCUGGCUCCGUUUGUGGUUCGUGGUGCGUUUCCUGUCUCCUGGCCCUCUCGCCCUACUCCGCGCCCCUUCCGUCUGCCUGCUUUCCGUUAGGAAGGCGGUCUGGGUAUUGAGGUCUGGUCUAAUGGCCACAACACCCCUGUGCACAACGCAAGCCUCGCGUUGAAACACCUCUCUUGCUCUCCUUCGCUCUACAUGCCGUCUUCCUCCCUUGUCGACGACCCAACAGGUGAACUGGACGCCCACACUCCGCAGAGCGUGUGCCUUGCUUGUGAGGUGCCGCGCGCCUACCCCUCCGACUGGCAGGUGCGCGAUUGAAUUCCCGAAAGCCCUGGCUGCUGGCAGCGUUGCACCUAACGCAACCCAUGUUGGGUCUGGCCGAGUGCAUACCUGGGUCCUGUCGUGAACAAAGAACAACCCACACGCCCUUGCGUUGCGCUGCAUCCCCGGCCAUUCAGCUCCUGUGCGCGGGCAUGGUGGGGCUGGGCCUGCGCUCCCCCAGUUGGCGCUGCGUGCGGAUGUUCCUGCACCUCACGCCCGAGUUCCAGAAGCGGCACAAGGCCUUCCACACGGUGCGGCUGACAAUUUUAUGGCCCUGGGGCUUGGGCAUAUCCCUGGGCCGUUAACGCAUUACUUGUGGAUGACCGCUCGCCAUGCUGCGAGUCUGUAAAUGCGCGGUCGGGGGCAGCCCCACGGUACAUGGUUGUGCUGGGUUGAGGGCAGGCGAGCAGGGACGCACGGCUUCUGCAUCCCUUCACCUGUGCCUGUUGUACCCUGGUCUCUGCACACGCUUACACAUUUGCCAACUGUCCUCUUCACCCCUACCUGCCAACCCGCGCAAUGACGCUGCCCCUCCCCUACGCAUGCACAGGAGCACGGGCCCUUCGUCUACAUCGCCGCGUUCGGUACCCGGCCCAAGCUGUGGCGCCGCGGCCGCGGCUCCCAGCUCAUGUCGGCUGUCCUCAAGAUGGCAGACCAGAAGAACAUGUGAGCCCGCCGUCGUGUCCGCGCCGCAAGCGCUUUGUUGUGCUGUCUUUCGACCGUGUGACGCCUUUGUCCGUGUGCGUGUGGGGUAUGCGCGCACCUUUGUUCGCCCGCACUGUCCCAGGGCUGUGAUGAGCCACCGCUCGGCCACACCUCUUGAUCACGCCCGCUUGGUGCCACGGAAUCUCACAGCAUCCCUGGUGCCCGCACAAGCUCUCACCCGUCCUCUUGGGGCCUAAGACCUAACGUACCGUGAGCGACUGUCACAGGCCCAAACCUCCCUCCCGCUGCAUCCCUGCCCGGCCCCUGCCACGCCCAUUGUCCCGCUCGUUCUCCCGCUACAGGCACUGCUACCUGGAGGCCAGCAGCGACGACAGCCGCCGCUUCUACGCCCGACACGGCUUUGCGCUGAAGGAGGAGCUCUGCGUGCUGCCGCUCACAGCCUCCGACGCCGCCGGCGCGCCGCUGCUGUACAUUAUGGUGCGGCCGCCCCAGGGCGCCGGUGCUGGAGGUGCGGGCGGUGGUGGUGGCGGCGCGGGUGCGCUGGCGGCCGGUGUUGGAGGCAAGGGCGCCGCUGCGGCUGGCGCUGCGGUGGGACCGGUGGCGGCGCCGGCGAAAGCGGCGGAGGUGGUGGUGACGGCGGCGGGCGGCAUCGCGGCGACGGUGGCGGUGCCAGAGGCGGCGGCGGCAGCGGCUGCAUCCACAGAGCCGCAGAAGCAGACGGCGGCGGCGGCGGCUGAGGCUGGGCAAGCUGGAGAGCGUGCGCGACAGGGGGAUGAGCAGGUGUAGGGAUGCUUGUGUGCGUGGCAGUGUACGGUUCAAUGGAGUCUGGGUGUGGGCGGGCAUGUGGCUAGGCGCAAAUGGGCCGGCUGUGCAGGGUGCUACUGCCUGCUUGCCUGCUAGGCUUCCUUUCUCCACUUAUCCGCGCCGUGUGAUCUAAGAAACGGGUUUUCAGGCAGUAACAUUUGUACUUGUGUGCAGGAAGGGUGUCUUGACUCUGGGGCAGGGGCGGUGCCUAGAAGUCGGGAUCUAGAGCGCCGUCUUUCAUGGUCUGUGCGACUGUGCAUACCCGGGACUCCGGGAGGGGAAACGGUCCCGCCAAUGCUGCUGGCUGCUGGGAAUGUGCGAGCCGGGCGUUAAGAGCGUGCGUAUGGAAGGUUCCGUUAGGUAGGGGCGGGGCAUGCGGCGCGUUGGGCAGGAAUGGCUUGGCAUGCACGGGGUGACCUGCGAGGCGACGGUGCAUCGCAAGCUGAGUGUGCAACAUCCCUUCUCCAAUGCACAAUCUUGGGUUGCUGCAGCACCGCGCUUAUAGCACCAGCACUGCUGCAAAUCGCACAGUCAGAGCGACUCGUGCUUGGUAGACUUUACGCGCGACAAGCAAACGGACACUUCAGAAAAGGAGCAUGAAACGAAUUUGACACCACACAUUACAAGGCCACAACAGUCAAAUAGCAGCACCACAUCUAGCGAUGGCGCUGCAGUCUCGACAUGGCCGCGCAACUUUUCUUCACGCUUAUUGGCGCGAGCGUGCGCUUAGACCCUGCCUUAGACGCCCAGUGCUGACGGUUUCAGCUGUUGCAGCAAGUUCUUCAGCGGCGGAAGGGCGCGGCAAAGCGAGCGGCCUGGGGUCCCUCACCUUUCUCGAUUUCGUCGUGCCUUUCAGCACGCCGCUUGCCGCCGCGAUUGCGACAGGCGUCUACACGGGGGUGAGUGCCUCAACAAGUACUUUAGUGCAGCUGAUGCGCGCGCGGGGCUGUCUGGAAGGCGCAGGGCCGCCUCCGCUGCUGAGUGUCACCGUGUUGACACACCAGCCCUCCACACCUGCGCUGGUCUCGCCCCUUUCCAGUCUUCCAAACGCCAAACAAGCACCCGGCCACCCACCUGGCUGUGUGGCGGCUGCCGCGCGCCACCGCACGUCGCCUCACCAAGCGCACCACCCCGUGCGCCUUCCCCAACCCCUCUCCCCCCCCCACACACACACACUUACUCGCAGGCUGUGGGUGCGGAUCUGGCCUGGCCGCUGCGCGCACUGCUGGUGGGCGGCGGGCCGUUGCUGGUGCACCUGCUGUUCCCUGCUGUGGACUGGGCGCUGGGACCCAGUAGGGCGCUGGCGGAGCGGCAGCAGCAGCAGGCGCAGCAGCAGGCGCUAGGGAUCAAGGUGGGCGGCGAGGGUGUGUGUUUGGGCGGGUGGGGGCGGGUGGGCAGUACGGCUGGUUCUGCACCGGUACAGUACGUGGCAUGAAGUUUAUGUGUGUGAAGCGGGAUGGGACGGUGACCGUGUGUUGCUUGAGCUACAACCCACCAUCGCGCGCUCGGCAUGGGGCCCAAGGCCCUGCCAGAGGGGCCACCAGCGCUCGCCGGCGCCAUCCUAAUCAUACUUACCUGGCCCGCUUCUCGAGGUGGUCACCAUGGCCUCGGUUGUGUGGUCGGUCUUCACCUUGCACUUUGUGAGGGCCUUCCGCAGUCGGCCCUUCGGGUGUCCGGCAGGGCUAAAUUUUUGUUAGGCUGAGGACCCGCGCUAUGCGCGGCCUCGGCUCCCAAUUGCAUUGGUUUGGUGUCCUGCCUCAAGAACGUGUACAGCUUUCGAAUUUGGUGGCGUGCGCAUCAAAGCGGAGUAGGGUGCAAAUCGGAGGUGUGGGGCGCACUAAACAGGAUCGGCCAGGGGCCUAGGGGAGAGACUUGAGCCACCAUUGCACUCGGGCUCACCUAACCACCUGCGCUAUGGGUCCAAUGUCGUUGCUGCCCCCCCCCCCUUCCGCGCGCGCCUCGCCCCAACCAUCGGCAGUCAAGGCCGCAUUUUCGCAUAUUGACAUGGUGCUGGUCCACCGCGGACUUAGGCAUGGGCACUAAAUGCAUGUGCCUCGCAGGACCCCACACUGCUCAACUCGUGAGCGUACCAGGCAGACGCUGAGGCAGAUCGGAACGCGCAUGCUCGCUUCAAACGGGAAGCACGACCCACACACCUGACCCCUGACCCCCCUGAAAUCCCACGCCAGAAACCCCCCACGCCUGAAAACCCCCACACCUGAAACCACCCACGCCCCCAGGCCC
rnacentral:lncRNA from 1 species